rnacentral:rRNA from 1 species
UUCGGGUUUGGUAUUGAGUGAUACUCUUAGUUGAACUAGGCGUUUGCUUGAAAUGUAUUGGCAUGAGUGGUACUGGAUAGUGCUAUAUGACUUUCAAUGUAUUAGGUUUAUCCAACUCGUUGAAUAGUUUAAUGGUAUAUUUCUCGGUAUUCUAGGCUCGGCCUUACAAUAUAACAAACAAGUUUGACCUCAAAUCAGGUAGGAUUACCCGCUGAACUUAAGCAUAUCAAUAAGCGGAGGAAAAGAAACCAACAGGGAUUGCCUUAGUAACGGCGAGUGAAGCGGCAAAAGCUCAAAUUUGAAAUCUGGCACCUUCGGUGUCCGAGUUGUAAUUUGAAGAAGGUAACUUUGGAGUUGGCUCUUGUCUAUGUUCCUUGGAACAGGACGUCACAGAGGGUGAGAAUCCCGUGCGAUGAGAUGCCCAAUUCUAUGUAAAGUGCUUUCGAAGAGUCGAGUUGUUUGGGAAUGCAGCUCUAAGUGGGUGGUAAAUUCCAUCUAAAGCUAAAUAUUGGCGAGAGACCGAUAGCGAACAAGUACAGUGAUGGAAAGAUGAAAAGAACUUUGAAAAGAGAGUGAAAAAGUACGUGAAAUUGUUGAAAGGGAAGGGCUUGAGAUCAGACUUGGUAUUUUGCGAUCCUUUCCUUCUUGGUUGGGUUCCUCGCAGCUUACUGGGCCAGCAUCGGUUUGGAUGGUAGGAUAAUGACUAAGGAAUGUGGCUCUACUUCGGUGGAGUGUUAUAGCCUUGGUUGAUACUGCCUGUCUAGACCGAGGACUGCG